AGCAAUGAUCUCCUAAGACCUGGGAAUGGCUGUACCUGUAAGAGUCUAGGAAGAAGCAUGCUGGCACUCAAACGGAGCUGAUAGCCUGUCUGAUGAAAAAGAACAAAGCCCUGUCUCCUUGGCUAUUUAGGGACUGAUCUUCCGUGGAGCUAAACGUCCUGAAUUUGCACUGUGUCUAUGGGAGUUGAGGGUGCUUAGUAUCUGAUGCACAUAGAUAUGGCACACUAGGGCACAGAGAUGGAUUGAAACAGCUCUUGAGUUGUAAGUUUAAACAAGAUGGCCCAUUUUGCAGUGGAUUGUAUGCUAAACUCUUUGUGUCUCCAGUGAGCUGGGCUUGGAAAGAAAGAAAGGAAGGAAGUGUAGACACAGCCUUGCUAUGUGUAUGUAGCCCAGAGCCCAGCACAACAGUGUCCUGAUCUUUGUGGUGCCUAGAGGCCCCAACAACACUUACUGCACCUGCUCAGCAACAAAGAUGAUGAUGAAAUAUCUAAAAAAUAAGGAUGUUUGCUUUGCCAUUCUGCGACUGGGUAUAACAAAGCCCUUUGUGGCCCACUGCUGGAAGCCCCACAGUCCUACCACACCCUGCCCCAGCAAAGGAGCAGUGAAGGUGGGUCCUCCAAGCCUGCCUAGAGAGGCUGCAGGGAAGCAGCCAAUCAGAGCCCAUAAGGCUGAGAUAAAAGGAGCUGCAGGGCCUUAGCAGGUCUGUUCCUGGCUGGAAACAGAGGAGUGGGAAAGGGUGUGCUGCUCUGGCCACAGGAGCGCAACUGGCUGCAUUUGCUAAAGCUGGAAGAGAGAGGAUCUGAGAACUUGAACCCUAAGGUUAAGGGGGUGAAGAUAAAGAUGCCAGGUGGGAAGACACUCAGGGAAUUAAUGGAAGUGAACAGAACAUGGCUUCUGAGGGUACCUGGAUGGGCCUGGGUUCCUCCACAGAAGUGGUCUAAGCCCAGAGAAGGGAACAAGGCUUGUUUAAAAGCCAGAGUGAAGGGCUGAAUUUAAAGAGCCCAGAGGCAGGGCUGAAAAACCCUGGUAAAGGCUGAGAGACGGUUUGUUGAACUCUUUGCUACCAGGGUUGCCAGGUGUCCAGUUUUCGACCGGAACUCCCACUCGAAAAGGGACCCUGGCGGCUCCAGUCAGCACCACUGACUGGGCAGUUAAAAGUCUUGUCAGAGGUACAGUGGGGCUAAGGCAGGCUCCCUGCCUGCUCUGGCUCUGGCUCUGUACGAAUCCUGGAAGCAGCCAUAAUGUCCGGCUCCCAGGUGCAGGGGCCAGGGAGGCUCUGCACGCUGCCCCUGCCUUGUAUGCUGGCUCCACAGCUCCCAUUGGCUGGGAGCUGCAGUCAGUGGGAG